rnacentral:lncRNA from 1 species
UUUGUGAUUAACAUCAGUGAUCUGACAACUGAUUUGAAUGUUUGUUUUUUCUUCGAUUAGCAUAUUACUUCCAUCGAGUGCAUACCAAAAGAGCAAAUCGAAGAAGAGAAAUCAUAGGAGUCCGACGAAAAGCAAAACAGGGCGUGAACCAAGAUGCAAAAGGGCACCACAUAAGAAGAAAAAAGGCGCUCCACACGAC